UCUGAACCUUUCCCAGUUUAUCAACAUGCUGUGAAUGGAGAACCCAGGCCCAGGCACUGUAUAUGUGUCAAAUGCAUCAGGACCAAAUGCAAAGGUGGUGGAACUGCUCUUCAUUACUGAUGAUGUUACACCACAGAAUCACACACAUGUUGGUUGGAAGCACCAUCUGUUGUCUUACAGGCAUACUCUGUUUUCCAGGAGCUUCCACCUUUUUUCCCUGAGGCAGUAGACUUGUAAUGAUGGUCCCAGCUCCUCUACAACACACUGCAGGAAAAUGACCAGCAGUUUUAUACUUUAUAUACAUCACCUGCAAGAUAGCCAUGGAGCUGUACAGAAAUGGGAUAGCUGCUGUCCUCUUAGGAAUAUCUGCAGAGCACAAUCAUUCCUCCAAGGAAACCCAUCUACAUUCGUGUGCAACAGAUGACAUGUUUAAGAGUAUGGAUUGAGGCUGAAGGGAUUCCAAGGUUACAUUCUACCCUUUGCAAAAGCUUGAGAGGAACAAGUAUAAUUGAAUUGGCAACGCGUUCCCUUUGACAUUGAUUUUUACAACAACUUCACCUUUUAGACAAAGCCUCACAUGUUAUUCAUUUGGAAUUCAUCGUGAAUGUUUUCAAAUCUGGUUUCUGUCUGCUCUGGGGAAAAGAAAGAACAACACACGAAAUAGUGCAGUGUAAAGCACGGGUCAGAAGCAGAACAAUCCAGGCAAUGUUCAAAUGGCAGAGGGCUGGAUGUAGAGCUCGUAUAUACAUUGGACAGAUACUGU